rnacentral:lncRNA from 1 species
GUGGAGGACCGCAGGCGAGAGGGAGAAGGAAGGGCGCCCGGGGAGCAGGCUGGCAGAGUGACCGGGAUUGAUGAGCGGCGCAGCUCUGGAGGGACGCGGGCGAGAGGGUCGCUCCUCGGGGAGAGGGCUGGCCGCCCUGCUGGUUGCCUCCACACCCCUCCUGCCGCCUUCCUCUCAGAACCCUAGCAGCUGUGUUCAGCGUCCCCCUCUUAAAGCAGCCACAUGCUCUGGGAAGACUGGCCCUCUGCGUCACAUCUGGCAGUCCCAUUCCUCUUGCUAAUGUGUGGUUCAGGAAUGGGCAGGUGGCCCAAUUCUGGUCAACAAGCCAUGAGAAGAAUCUGCUAGAGGUUUCCUUGCAUCUAAGAAAUGGUCUCUUUCGCCCUUGGACUUGGUUGGGUUUGGAUGUGAUGCCUCGAUCCUCUACAGCCUGAUGACAAAGACCACACCAAGGAUGGCAGAGUGGAAGGAUAAAAAGAACCAGGGCCUUCCAGCCUUUGUUGUAUGGCUGACUUAACCAACCUUGAAGGUGGCCUUACUCACGACUUCCUGUCAGAUGAGACAAAUUUCUUGGUUAAGAUACUUUGACAGGGGUUUUCCGUUUCAUACAACUGAAAGUAUCCUGACUUAAACACCUUUUGAGGUUCUGCCCCAAGCCUUUAUUGAUUUUCUCCUCUUGAAUCACCACCAGCAUUUCUGCAUUUCUCUUAGUACCACGUUUUUUCUAUUCCCCACACCCACCACCCCCUCUCUUCCCUAGCUGUUUCUGUCUCAAACAAUACAGGGAAACAUUUUAGGGUGUCUGACAGAUCACACCCACCCCUUUCUCAGACCUUCUCAACCACAAGGUGCUCUCCCACCUCCAGCGAGGUUUGUACUUCACAGUUGAUGGGGUCCCGGUAGAUUCAGGCUGGGCCAACCUGAGAGUCUGUCUCAGUAACAAAGGGAACCCUGCGCCCAGCUGAAGUGCAGGCAAUGUUUACCCGAAAGCUGGGGGUGGGUCCGCAUUUCCAGGAGGAAGCCAAGACUCUCCCUCAUCCUCUGCAGAAAGAGGAAGGAAGCCUAAACAGAGAAAAACAGUAGCAGAGUCUGACAGCCUGGGUGCUGUGUAUGGUUGUGCAUUUUGUGCUCUGAAAGGCUCCCAUCCCUGCUAAAGGCCUGCUUCUAGAUUUAAAGAGGACUCUGUCUUUGAGGUCUAUGAGAUUUUUAGAUGGAAUCAUUCAUCACAUCCCAUUUGGGCUUUAGAUACUUUGAAGUGAGUAUCUCAAAUUUUCAAAUCAAAGAACCCUGAUUAAAACAAAAGGUCUUCUCACCUCAAAUCCUUUAUGAAAUGAGGUCAACUUAAAAUACUUUUUAGUUAGCUAUGAUAUAAAAUUAAACUAUAUUUUUGUUAUAGUUAAUGAAUUAAUAUUGUAUCUUCUGUUCCUUAGUCGAAAAGUGAGCAGUUAAAUGGUCUAUUUCUCUAACAAAACAAUUAACUGAUUCCUCAGGAUUUACCGCCCACUGUGACCCUCUUGCCCUGUGCCCACACAUACCUACUAAAGACCAGUUUUCAGAUCCCCAGGAAUAACAUAAAAUGGGGCAUAUCUGUCUCGUAAAUAUGAUUGAAUAAGCAUAUGUAGAGCACAGUUGUUUCACUUUUAAGAAUCAAUUAUAAUCAUUUGUACAAUAAAAUGAAUUAUGUCUUUCACACAAUAUGACAGAGCAGUAAUUGAUUUUUUUUUUUAAUUCGGCCAUUCCAUCUUCUUCUGGCACCUCAACUUCCUGCUGCUUUGGAGAUAGCUAGACCUGUGUGGAUCAAGGCAUUAGGCCCUGAUGUUACCUUACCAGGGGCCAAGCACAUGACACAAGUUCAGCCAAUUAGAAGCUUACUUCCUGAUACUGAGCAGAGCAAAGAAAGAGACCAAAAGCCACCUGGAGUUCAUUUCUUGCAGCCCCUGGACAAGCCUGAAGCUGCCCUUGAGACCUUUGGGAGCCUCCUGAUUCUUCUGCCUUCCCUCUGGUCCCAUAAGCUAGCUGUCAGGUUCUAACUGAUGUCCGAGUUCCCAUAAGCUAGCUGCCAGGUUCUAAUUGAGAUCCAACGGGAAUCAGUGGAUGAGUGGUGGGUAGCUGGAAAAACACUAAAGGAAUCAUAGACAGUUUUGACAUGGCUUUACCCUCUCUUUGGGUGUGAGCAAGCCAUAUGUACAGCAUUAGCAGGGUAAUUAUACCUUUUACAGACAGUAGUGGCUCCAAGCCCAGCACAAGCUCACAUGGGUGAUCACCUAAUGUGCCUCACAUGGCUUGGUUACAUAAUGUGCGGAGCUAUGCGCCUGCGCUCCAAACCCAUUGAGUUAUGCUGUGCCGGAAGCCUGCCUCAGCCUACUCCUGACUAAAGCACAGCCAUUUCCCUUACACUCCACCCCCUAGGCCUAGGGCAUCCUCCAGGCA